GGGUGGAAAUAUCAGGUCAGUCCUCCUUGGUUGCUGUAAAAGUGGUGGGGAAAGAGUAGAUAAUUAAGUUCUUUUUCUGAUUGGAGGGAGGCUUCUGGAAGUCUUUGUGAUCUAGUCAGAUAUUCAUUCCUCAGCAACAUUUCAGGUGACAGGUGGGAAGAAAGAUGCAGUUUCAACUCUCCUUUUGUUUUCAUCUCUACAUAGCUGAUCACUUUCUUUUUUGACAACUGAGCUACACUUUCUUAAGUAAUAAAGAAGUCCAUUGUUUUGCAAACAAACACCAUAUGCAAAAGACUCCUUUGGUUUUCUCCCAGCUAUUAUUCCUCAGCUUAAUUGUAUUCCCACCAGAGUGCUCACAGGAGGCCUGACCGAGUGGGGCCUGACUGUCCUCCUCCAAAGGGACUUCAGCUUCCUCGGAACACAGAGCUGCCAGCACACACUGAAUUUUUCUGGCUAAUUUCAAAGAGUGAGUUUUCAGUUCCUGCCUGUGGCCCCAGGUGGACUCAUUAAUCAUGAAGUCCCCCUGUGCUUAAGAUCUGAAACUGGAAAUAUUGACAGAUGUUAUCAAUGGGUAUAUUUUUAAGGAGAAGCUAGCUGGAUGCUCCCUGCUCCUCCCAAAUGCGUGGUCAGUGAAUCGUGUGCAUGAGCUCAAAUGUGUGGGGAAUACACGUCGUUAAGUGCACAGGGACAAGGGUAACUCACAAAUGGUAGAAAAUUGUUUUGUUUUUAUUAAAUUUGGAGAAAUAAAGGAGAUUUCUUAUCAUCUUACUCUGUUUGUACAUGAAUAUUUGAUGGGCAUUAUUAAACAUUAAAGUAACAUGAAGUAGGCACUUAUUUUUGGAUUUCCAACAAAAUUAGAUCCAGGCUUCUUAGAUGAAAUAACUGCUUCUCCUUUGCAUUCCUGCGAUUCAGCCACCACCUGAUUUGCAAACGUUUCUUGAGCUCUAAUAUCAAACAUGUGUACCUGAGGCUCUGUCUUUCUAGUGGGUUGAAAGGUGGCUGGGUUUAUGGUUGGCAGUUACCUUAUCCUCUGCCCUGGGUGUCCCAGCUUAGGCUGGAAAGGCUGCCCCCAGCUGGCACUGACCUCUGAAUGACCCCUAACUUUACAGGCUUAAACUGCAGGAGUUGCCGAAGAGCAGAAGUCUUUCUGGCCAGCACUUAUUACUGCUGUGUUGGUGAUAAAACUUCAGACAGCCUAAUUGAUGGCUUUGCUGACCUAACAAUACCUUGUGAAAGCCGAGUGCUAGAGCCUGGUCUCCAUUUAUGACCAGCUGCAAGGGGAAGCUGGGUCUCCCUAUCACGGGGAGUCUAGGGAAAGGGGGAAAGUCUUCCAGCCUGAACUUUAACCAGAUUCCUACUUGUGCAAGAAGCAGAAGCACAAUUUGAAGUUAAUAGAAGCUUUCUCAUGGAGAACUUUAUUCCCUCUCUGAGCUCUUCUAGCAAGUUGUCUUGGAGUUGACUACGCAGUGACGACGGAGAUUACCCAGUCAACUAUUUUUGAACACUGAAAGGGAAAAUCACCUUUAAAUUGAAAAGAUAAUUUUCAGAAGAGAUUUGACUGUGUUUUGUGCUCCUCAGCAUUCAUGCAAAGGUGUUCGCAGAGUACAGAAACGGAGUAUGAUGACUGGACUUCUCUGUUCUCUUUCAGGUUUAUUAAUGCCAGAAGAAGAAUAGUACAGCCCAUGAUUGACCAGUCAAAUCGAGCAGGCAACCAAGGAGCAGCAUAUAGUCCAGAGGGUCAGCCCAUGGGGAGCUUUGUGUUGGAUGGUCAGCAACACAUGGGGAUCCGGCCUGCAGGUUUGCAGAGCAUGCCAGGGGACUACGUUUCUCAGGGUGGUCCUAUGGGAAUGAGUAUGGCACAGCCAAGUUACACUCCUCCCCAGAUGACCCCACACCCUACUCAAUUAAGACAUGGACCCCCAAUGCAUUCAUAUUUGCCAAGCCAUCCCCACCACCCAGCCAUGAUGAUGCACGGAGGACCCCCUACCCACCCUGGAAUGACUAUGUCAGCACAGAGCCCCACAAUGUUAAAUUCUGUAGAUCCCAAUGUUGGCGGACAGGUUAUGGACAUUCAUGCCCAAUAGUAUAAGGGAACUCAAGGGAAAAGGAAACACACGCAAAAACUAUUUUAAGACUUUCUGAACUUUGACCAGAUGUUGACACUUAAUAUGAAAUUCCAGACAGCUGUGAUUAUUUUUUACUUUUGUCAUUUUUCAUCAAGCAACAGAGGACCAAUGCAACAAGAACACAAAUGUGAAAUCAUGGGCUGACUGAGACAAUUCUGUCCAUGUAAAGAUCCUCUGGAAAAAGACUCCGAGAGUUAUAACUACUGUAGUAUAAAUAUAGGAACUAAGUUAAACUUGUACAUUUCUGUUGAUCACGCCGUUAUGUUGCCUCAAAUAGUUUUAGAAGAGAAAAAAAAAUAUAUCCUUGUUUUCCACACUAUGUGUGUUGUUCCCAAAAGAAUGACUGUUUUGGUUCAUCAGUGAAUUCACCAUCCAGGAGAGACUGUGGUAUAUAUUUUAAACCUGUUGGGCCAAUGAGAAAAGAACCACACUGGAGAUCAUGAUGAACUUUUGGCUGAACCUCAUCACUCGAACUCCAGCUUCAAGAAUGUGUUUUCAUGCCCGGCCUUUGUUCCUCCAUAAAUGUGUCCUUUAGUUUCAAACAGAUCUUUAUAGUUCGUGCUUCAUAAGCCAAUUCUUAUUAUUAUUUUUGGGGGACUCUUCUUCAAAGAGCUUGCCAAUGAAGAUUUAAAGACAGAGCAGGAGCUUCUUCCAGGAGUUCUGAGCCUUGGUUGUGGACAAAACAAUCUUAAGUUGGGCAGCUUUCCUCAACACAAAAAAAGUUAUUAAUGGUCAUUGAACCAUAACUAGGACUUUAUCAGAAACUCAAAGCUUGGGGGACAAAAAGGAGCAAGAGAAUACUGUAACAAACUUCGUACAGAGUUCGGUCUAUUAAUUGUUUCAUGUUAGAUAUUCUAUGUGUUUACCUCAAUUGAAAAAAAAAAGAAUGUUUUUGCUAGUAUCAGAUCUGCUGUGGAAUUGGUAUUGUAUGUCCAUGAAUUCUUCUUUUCUCAGCACGUGUUCCUCACUAGAAGAAAAUGCUGUUACCUUUAAGCUUUGUCAAAUUUACAUUAAAAUACUUGUAUGAGGACUGUGACGUUAUGUUAAAAAAAAAAAGGUGUUAAGUCACAAAAAGCGGUAAUAAAUAUUUCAUUUUUG
rnacentral:sRNA from 1 species